UAUACAUGACUCUGCGCAUUCAAUAAGCGGAGGAAAAGAAACUAACAAGGAUUCCCUUAGUAACGGCGAGUGAAGCGGGAAGAGCUCAAAUUUGAAAUCUUCAAGGUUUUACCUUGACGAAUUGUAGUUUAAAGAAGUGUUUUCUGCUGAAGUUUUGGUAAAAGUUCUUUGGAAUAGGACAUCAUAGAGGGUGAGAAUCCCGUAUUUGACCAUUAUUUUCAGCUUUGUGAUACACUUUCAAAGAGUCGGAUUGUUUGGGAAUGCAGUCCAAAAUGGGUGGUAAAUUUCAUCUAAAGCUAAAUAUUGGCGAGAGACCGAUAGCGAACAAGUACCGUGAGGGAAAGAUGAAAAGAACUUUGAAAAGAGAGUUAAACAGUACGUGAAAUUGUCCAAAAGGGAAGCGUUUGACACCAGUGUUGUUUUCUCGAAAAUCAAUUAAAAAUGGCUCGAUUUUGUAUUGCUUGAGACCUUAAAAGCUCACUGUACAUUUUUCGUGUCUUUUUUAAUGCACUUUUCGUUUGACAAGUCAACAUCAGUUUCUUUUGUUGUAAAAGGGUCAUUGGAAGGUGGCUUUCUUUUCGGAGAAAGUGUUUAUAGCCAUUGGCCUCUGCAAUCGGAGAGACUGAGGUCUGCAGCGUAGACUCUUCGGGGUUAGAUACAUUUGUGCUAAGUUAUAGCUUUUUAUAGACAACUUGUUGACUAUAAUUAGUCUUGUAGCUUACUCGCUUAUGCUAUUUUACCUACGCUUAGGAUGUUGAAGAUGUAGCACAUCAU
rnacentral:rRNA from 1 species